AUGGGGCGAUGUCAUGGUGCCGAUAUGACCUUACCAAGCUCCCACUUCUCCGCCCUGCCCUGCACUUGCCCACCACCAGCAGGUUGCCCGCUGUCCCAUGGCCGACGUUGUCCCCCGCUAGAUUAGCAACGACAAGCAGGCCUCUGUCUAACAGUGAGAAGAAAGACGCAGCGGCUUGGUGGAAUAGCUCACGGAGGGAAAGGAGAAGAUAAUGGUGGAUGCUCUUGACCGUGGAGGACGAUUGAGCUAGCAGCUAUUCCACUGUCAUUGAAGAGAUCGGAUGUUGUUUUCUGGUGCGUAACUACGCUAAGCAAGAAGGCACCCCUGGUGCAUGCCGUGCCUGGUGGCAACCUGCCUGCCGCCAGGUUUCUUCUUCACCACGGUGCUGAUCUCCGUUAGGAAAUUCAAGAGGGUGCCAAUGUUUUUCAUCUCCGCUGCUAUGAAAGGUACACGGCUUGAAAGGCUUGAGCUUUGAUGUACAUGGUGGGGGUGGCGCGCAGCAGGAUGACCAGCUAGACCGCGCGGAGCCGAUGUGGCCCGCCAGCAAGCCGCGUCUGUGGGAACCCUCACUAUGCCGGCGGCUAGGACCUUCAGCAAGCGCGUCUAGUUCCAGAAGUUGCAUGUCUGGCUUCUCGUUGUUCCACUGUUUGAGCUAUAUGGCAACGGUCAGCUAAGAGGUGGUCCUCCUACACCGAAAGUUAGCCCUUGAUGAUGUUUAGAAGAGUGAUGAGGUAUAUACCUUACAUAAAAGCCCUUGUUUUUCUUCACAAGGAUUGGUAUCCAUAUAACCAAUUUUGUGUCGCUUCAUAUAAAAGAAUUAUCACGUUUUUUGAGUUGAUGUCUAUCAGAAAGUAUCUGCCUUUUUUAGUUAUAAAACCUUCUCUUUUUUUAGGGCAAAAAAAAAACUGAACCUUCUCAAUCUGGAUUCUCUCUGGUGCCAUUAGUUGUGGUCUGGUUGUUACCAUUUAUAUAUCUUAACCAGGCCAAAGGUGGAUAGUUGUAAGAUGCAUUUUUUUAUUAAAGUCAAACUGAACCUUUUCAUGUAAAGUCUGUUCGUGCACAGUUCAUUGUGUAUUUUCACAUGACUAUAUUUCCCUCUGCAGCUUUAAUUUAAGUAUUACACUGUGAUUCAUGUAGUGUUCUUAGAUGUUUUGAUAAAUUCCUUAAAUCUGUUUUGAUGUAUUCAAAUAUUACAUCGAUUGGUAAAGGAGUAUUUGGCUCUGCUAUGUUGGUGAGGCACAAUGUUUAGAAGAAGUGAGUCUAAUUAGCACUUCCCCUUCCACUUACCUUAUGCAAAAUGAUCAGUUUUGUUCAAUCGCUUUGAUGGUAUGGAGCUUCAUGUGUCGUGAAGGCAUGUGCCAAAGAGGAUCCGGCUUGCACGACAACACCGACCGCACUCGCCGGUCCGCCUGCCAGUAGCUUGCAGGAAUGAUGCAGGGGCAUGGCUGACAGGGAUUGAACAUGUGGAAGCUGAGAGCGUAGCCCUGUGAUCCACUUGAGCUGAUAUCCAUCCUGGUUGUGUAACAUGAAACUGAUGUUAUGUUCAGUUCAUUCUGUUAUUGUUUGCAUGUCUGAUCCUGUGGGUUGUGGCAGAUAUGUGGUACUUGGAACUAUCUCUUCAUUUUCAUCAUCUUUAUUGGAGCUAAUUCUGGCUAUGUGAUUCUGUUCUAGUCUCAAAACUCGUAUUCCCUUUGGCCCUAAAUACUUAUUUGCAGGUUCCAUGAAUCUAGACACAGUUUAGCCGACAUUUUGCCUAAAUUUGCGACAAGUAUUUAGAGCCGUAGGGGGUAGCAUUACCAAAGCUAGCAUGCAAGUAGCAGCAGCUUUUUAUUUUGUCCAGUUUCAGACUAGUAAAGGUGUAUUACUAGCAUACUAUGCCAAGUUUUUCUUCUUACAUGCCUUUGUACUGUCCAGACCACUUGAUUGUUGAGCUAUAUGAAGUGGUAAUAUGGUAGAGCUAUCAUUAAAACCUACUAUUUAUGUAGUAGAGCUAUCAUUAAAACCUACUAGAAAAUCAGUUGGCUAUCCUUGUCAUGGUAUGUACCAGAUAUUUAUUUGGUGUCAUUCAUAUAUGAUUUUUUCCUCUCCUGUGAGCAACAAUUGAUAAUUUCAUCUCUAGUAAAUAUGUUUUGAAAUAUAUGUGUGCCCUUAAAAUAAUAUGAUGUGAGAACUGAUCUCUAUUUCCUGUUACCUCAAUCGAUGCAAUGAAGGCUGCAGCGACCAUGGAGCCGAAGAACACAAAAAUGGACAUGUACAAGUCCAGGUUGGUACACCCUGACGGUGGGGCAUGGUGAAGGCUUGUUGUCGGAGCAGAAGGUUGAUAUAUAGUGUUGAUUGGCUGGGAAGGAGGCAUCAUGCUGAUCUACCGAGUUGGCUGGGGAGGAGCAUUUUGAGUACUGCGAUUCAUGUUUUGACAAUGUUGACUGAGAAAUGCGAGUGGAGCACGAGCCCAUUCUCCGGCUGCGCGAGGAAAGGCGUUGGACGGACGAGCCGAGCUUCUUCUUUGCUAGAUGUGUGACGCUGCGACGCUCCAGCGGCACAUGAAGCAAGAGACUGCCAUGGGGCUCCAGAAGGUACCCUGAUGCGAUAGCAAUAGCAGCAGAGAGUAGAGCUGAUACUCCUGGGCACUCUUUUUCUUUUGUAUUUUCAAGUGUUGAGCAUGAUGUAGUAUUUAUUGUGGUCUUAAAUUUACUGCAGUUGACAUCGUGGAAAGUUUGAGAGUGCUAGUCGCUUGGUGAUGUAUCGCGUUGGGCAUGAGCAUUUAAUCUUUGAUUAAACUUCUUGGUUGAAUUAUGUACAAGGAUAAUGCUUUAGUCACUUGUUAUCAUAGUAUGAGCUAGAUUGACUCGAGUGUAUUAAUGUGUUGUGAUGUAUACAACAGAAAUCUAGGGAAAUUAUUCCUCGAUUUCGAAUCUAUAAUCGUUCACUUUA